UACGUAGGUGACCAGCGUUGUCCGGAUUUACUGGGCGUAAAGAGCGCGCAGGCGGUCGUUCAAGUCGAGUGUGAAAGCCCCCGGCUCAACUGGGGAGGGUCACUCGAUACUGAUCGACUUGAAGGCAGGAGAGGGAAGCGGAAUUCCCGGUGUAGUGGUGAAAUGCGCAGAUAUCGGGAGGAACACCAAUGGCGAAGGCAGCUCGCUGGGACGGUACUGACGCUGAGACGCGAAAGCGUGGGGAGCAAACAGG
rnacentral:rRNA from 1 species